UUGACCUACUGUGACUGUACAACUGGGUUUUUCUCUCAGCUCAGAUGAGAUUCAUAUUAAGAUCUGUACUAGUUGCACAGUGAAACAGCUUCUUUUUCUUCCUUGUUCCCUGUUACGCACCUCCAGUGCGUGUCUCUGUGCUAGAUGAGAGCCUGUGGGGAGUUCAGGGAGUGCAGGUCUGAGCCGUGUAUCACCCUGUCACCAGGACCAAGCUGGGAGAGGUUUGUCAGCAAAACACUGUGGUCCUGAAAUUUCAAGCCUGAGGCGGAGCUGGGAAGAACAUCCUAGAGCUCCUGGGUUUCUAUCUAGGGCUUUGGACACAGCUUCAGUCAAAGAGUCCCCCUUCCUGAAAGUGGGUACCGAGACAUGAGCUUUCAAUACCUGCAAAUUUCCAUCUGGUUUGUUAGCAGCACUCCUCAUGAAGGGGAUUAUGAAAAGUUGGAGAUGCUACAGUGUUUCAUACUCAUUUGACUGUGGUGGCUGAGCUGAACAACUUCUGACUUGCCCUCCUGAAGGUGAACGGAGGACAAGGCUGUGCAGUGGGGCUGGUGACAACUCGGUUUCAACCUCUGCUGCAGCAGCCUGGCUGGGGUAUGCAACACAGAGAAGCUGGUGGGGGGCUCACCAGCCCCUUCCAGCUAUUCAGUACCACUCUCUGGGCACAAGAGUGUCACAAACUGGCUGGUGAAACCAGGCUUGCAGCUCUUGUGUGUGGUCAUUAUGGGGCAAAAUGCAGCCGGGCUGUUCUGGUAAAUCCUGAGGGUAGGAAGGCUUGCCAACAGCUCGGCUCUCCUGCUUCCUUCCACUGCUGCAGAUAACGCCGUGCAGCCUCCCGGGGAGGGAGGUGCAUUUCUGCCCUUACCAAAGGUGUUUUCUGUUGAUAUGGUAUGUUCCUGCACAUGGAGGGGAAGGCAGAUAUGGCCAGACAUCCUCUCCCAGAUCCUGUUGUGUGGGUGAGAGCGGCUGCUGGCAGUGGGGUUGCUCCUUUGUGCUCCUCCAGCUGGAGGCAAGCACCCAUUUGGGGAUGCUUCCCAGAAAAUACAAUUGCACAGUGAGCAGAUGCUUUCUGUCCAUGGCUUUGCACCUCCUGCUCCUGGGAGGGGCUGGAAGGAGAACUGGGAAAUGGUGCUGGAGAAGUAUGGCCAAAAAUGGUCAAGACCAGGUAAGGAGCAGCCAUAUGGCAGAUGUGCUGCUGGCUCCGUAAUUAAGCCAAGUGCUCGGGAUGCAAGAGGCUUGGCUGUGCACAGUUGAGAGCCUGGCUUCCUGUGUGUUCCUCCCUGCUAUGAUUCUGACCAGAAAUUCCAUUUUUGACCUGAAAAAUCUUCCAGAUGAAAAUUUAAUUAUAAAAGUGAUGUAUUCCCACAAGAAACUUUAGUGUCAGCAAAUAAGUCCUUUUUUAUGAAAAACUAUUUUAUUCACAUACACAAAAAUCUGGCUCCCACUAAUUUCAUGCUAGAGCA